GACGAACGCUGGCGGCGUGCUUAACACAUGCAAGUCGAACGGCAAGGCCCUGCUUUUGUGCUGUGCUCGAGUGGCGAACGGGUGAGUAACAAGUGAGUAACCUGCCCUUGACUUUGGGAUAACUUCAGGAAACUGGGGCUAAUACCGGAUAGGAGCUCCUGCUCCAUGGUGGGGGUUGGAAAGUUUCGGCGGUCGGGGAUGGAUUCGCGGCUUAUCGGCUAGUUGGUGGGGUAGUGGCUUACCAACGCUUUGACGGGUCGCCGGCCUGGGAGGGUGACCGGGGUCAAGACUCCUACGAGAGGCCGCAGUCGGGUACGGUAGGCAACAGUGGGAAGCAUGACCCAGUGAGCCGGCGUCUGUGACAGCGGCGUUGGGUUCGGAAAGCCCUCUUUCGGGUUGAGAACCGCUGUCGCCUGUGACGAAGCGUGAGUGACGGUACUGGGUAAAGAAGCACCGGCUAACUACGUG
rnacentral:rRNA from 1 species